GGAUGUGAGGGCGAUCUGGCUGCGACAUCUGUCACCCCAUUGAUCACCAGGGUUGAUUCGGCUGAUCUGGCUGGCUAGGCAGAUGUCCCCUCCCUCCCGAAGCUGCGCGCUUGGUCGCAGAGGACUUCGGUCAAGGGUAUACGAGUAGCUGCGCUCCCCUGCUAGAACCUCCAAACAAGAAAUGCCAGAUGAGGAAUGCUCAUCUGCCACUCACUGACCCAGGCACAUGGCAUAAUUUAGUGUGUGCGUGCAUGCAUGCGCACACAUAUG
rnacentral:snRNA from 1 species